CCGCACUCAGCAACAGUCCUUUACUACCCACUCAUUCACAACCAGAAAGAUGGUUAAUCAAUAACCAUGACAUUUAAUGUCGAACUGUAUAAACCAGUGGCGCUGUGCUUCAUCCCUCCAGCACAUGCUCAAAUCUGCAAAGAAAAAAAAUCUUUCUGUCAAAUUAAAUGGAGUUUGAAGUGGGUUACAGGCCUCCCAAGUGGCGAGCAUUUCGACUUGAACGGUGACAGAUUCGCCGCCGCAAAGCAGGAUGGGUAAGAAUGGGACGCUGAAAGUAUGGCGGAUGGAGAAGAGCCGGAAAAGAAAAGAAGGAGAAUAGCGGCGCUGACUGAGAAGUUAGUGAUGAAAUGCUAAGAGCUGGCUGCAGCAUGGCAGUUGAAGGUUGCAGUAUUGGUGACUGGGAUGGCCGCUGGAGUCAUGUGCAGAAGUUCCUGGAGAGAACUGGCCCCUUCACACACCCAGACUUUGAACCUAGUG